GACGAACCGUGCAACCGUUAUUCGGAAUCACUGGGCUUAAAGGGCGCGUAGGCGGGCUAUCAAGUCUGGGGUGAAAUCCCGCGGCUCAACCGUGGAACUGCCUUAGAUACUGACGGCUUUGAGGAAGGUAGGGGCAUGCGGAACUGUAGGUGGAGCGGUGAAAUGCGUUGAUAUCUACAGGAACGCCGGUGGCGAAAGCGGCGUGCUGGACCUUUUCUGACGCUGAGGCGCGAAAGCUAGGGGAGCAAACGGG
rnacentral:rRNA from 1 species